AACGAACGCUGGCGGCAUGCCUAACACAUGCAAGUCGAACGAGACCUUCGGGUCUAGUGGCGCACGGGUGCGUAACGCGUGGGAACCUGCCCUUAGGUUCGGAAUAACUCCCCGAAAGGGGUGCUAAUACCGGAUAAUGUCUUCGGACCAAAGAUUUAUCGCCUUUGGAUGGGCCCGCGUUGGAUUAGCUAGUUGGUAGGGUAAAAGCCUACCAAGGCGACGAUCCAUAGCUGGUCUGAGAGGAUGAUCAGCCACACUGGGACUGAGACACGGCCCAGACUCCUACGGGAGGCAGCAGUGGGGAAUAUUGGACAAUGGGCGAAAGCCUGAUCCAGCAAUGCCGCGUGAGUGAUGAAGGCCUUAGGGUUGUAAAGCUCUUUUACCCGGGAUGAUAAUGACAGUACCGGGAGAAUAAGCGCCGGCUAAUUCCGUG
rnacentral:rRNA from 1 species